UACGUAGGAGGCAAGCGUUGUCCGGAUUUAUUGGGCGUAAAGAGCGUGUAGGCGGCCAGGUAGGUCCGUUGUGAAAACUCGAGGCUUAACCUCGAGACGUCGAUGGAAACCAUCUGGCUAGAGUCCGGAAGAGGAGAGUGGAAUUCCUGGUGUAGCGGUGAAAUGCGCAUAUAUCAGGAAGAACACCCGUGGCGAAGGCGGCUCUCUGGGACGUGACUGACGCUGAGACGCGAAAGCGUGGGGAGCAAACAGG
rnacentral:rRNA from 1 species